AUACACAAAUUAUAUAAAAUUCAGUUGCCUUACAAUGCAACAACAAUGCUGUUAAAGGUGGAAGAGGUAUCCCCAGAGAAUAGAAAUAUUAUCCUUAUUAAUAAAGAAAAAAAUCCCCCAAAGUGGAAUUAUCCCAGUAUAAAAGAGCAUCGCAGUAUAAUUCUUAUUCAUUCCACUCUUUAGUUAGAGGGACAAAUAUAUGUAAGCAUAAAGCUAAAAUUGCUCACAUAUUUCUUGUAUAUCUAAGCUAGUUGAUAAAACGUCAUUUCUUUAAAGUUUACGGAAUGACAUUGCUAUUCCCCAAUCCAGCCCUAAGAUGAUUUCUGAAGGAUUCCUAUUUAAAGACCCAUUUUCUGGAAAUAGAGAUUGAUAGAGAUUUAUCCAAUUUUAUUCAAGGUAGUACCAAGCUGCUUUUUUGAACAACUCUGGUCAGUUUUCAGAGUCAAAAAUAGAACUUGUAGGAAACAUGCAGUUAUCAUUUGCAGCUAGGGUUAGUAGGUGAGACAGCAACAAGCCACUUUUUCACUUGUAGCACUUCACAGUUAGCAAGGAUAUUACAGAACAUCUACUCCAUCAAUGGGCCCAACAAGAGCAAUGACUUAUUCAAAGCCAGUCAGGUAGGUGUUGAUUAGCCAGACCCUCUCAGUCAAAUCACAACUACUAUUUGACUUUUAUAUUUCUUAUUUCUAGGUACAUAUCAAAACAAAUUAUAUGAUGCCAGGAGUGGUGGUCUCACCCAUAAAGUAGGGCACAUGACCUCAAUUUAGAGCACAAAUUUCAUGUCUAUUGGGAAUGGAAACUGAGAGGACAAGGAAGAGCAAGAACUCCUGUGUUCUAUCACUCGUGGUGGCUGUUUAACAACUUGG